UUCUAAUGGCUUGCUCGCCCCGAUCGAUCCUUCUAUCACGUCCGCCGCCAUCCUAAUGUCCCUGCCAUCUCAUGUAGCCGUCUCCAAUGUUCACCUUGCGCUGCUGCCAGUCUUCCUCUGGAUCCAAGGGCUCCCCCGUGCACUACUUAGGUCUGAUCAAUUACUGCACUAGCCGUGGAUGUGUUAUUCUCUACGUCUCCAUCGCAUCGAAGGAUCCUAUCAGGAUUCACGAUAAGAAGGCUAAGCUCCUAGAUCCCGUCUGUUGCAAAAUUAGAUUGAUAUGAACUCGAUCGCUGGGUUCUUAAUUCACAACCUCACUUCUCGCGCUCAGGCUGCCACACCUGAAUUUCUCGAGAAGCAGGCCACGCAUUCCCAGUCAGCCAGCACAGUCUGAUGGUAAAUCUUUAUUAGAAAAUUCAUAUUAUUUUAACUCGGAUGAGUAAAUCAUGGUACCAUGUACUUGGUGGUAUAUUAUCUUUCUGGUAUUCUUUCAAACAUAGAAAGGAGUUGCAGGUUCCAAGGAGAAAUCUCAAUAUCAUUCUCAUCUAUAGUUAUUCACAAGCAGAUUUUUUUUUGUGACCAGUUCAAUAUCCGUUCUCUCCAUUGGCACAUGUGUGAGGUAAAUCAUGGUAUGUGUAUACUUGGUGGUGUAGUAAGCUUCUUGUGUCCUUUCAAUCAGAAAAAGGAGAUAGAUGCACAUUAUAAAUAGAAACUGCCAUAUGGGUCUGAUCUAUAGUUACUUACAAGAAGUUUUCUUAUUUUGCUUUUGUAGUUCAGUUUCUCUUCUGUCCAUUAUGUCGAUUUCCAUAGGUGCAAAGAUCUCUGAAAAUAAUCAUCUACAGUAGUUCUCAAAGGAAUCGGAGCAGGUUUGUGAACUUUUUGUAUUGUGGUAAAGGCAUCUUGAGUUGUUGAGAAAAUAUUUUCUAGAGCCAACCACAUAGAUCUGACAACAAAAUCUGAAGGUAAAGGCUUACCUUUAGUUGUUAUCAUGCUUCAGUUACGAGGUUAUAAUGCACAUUCUGUACCAACUGCUUGACAGAAAGUAAUAUAUAUGUUUGUAGGAAGUGUAUUAUUAUUCUAGCUGCUCUUGCAUUCAAUGAUUCGAUUUUCUCUUGCCUAUUUUGCAGGAAAGGUCGUGAUCUUCAUAAAAGUUUAGAUCUAUGGAUUCUAUAUAAAGCCGAGCAUACGUUUGUAGUAGCAAUCUAUCAAUUAUGUAGUAUGUAGCUGUCUCAUGCUUUACAUGGCUAUGGUCUCUUUUGUAUGCAUAGUUCUUCCAUAAGUCUGUAAGUGCCUUUAUCUGAUAAAUGUAGUGUGUCAUGAUUACCUAUGAUACAUUUGUUCAUGAUACAUCAUCGCGACAUGCUAAUAGUUCUGAGAUAAAUCAUGUACGUAUAUUUAUGGUCCUAUAUAUCGAUACUGACAACCUAUCACACAUAAGUAUAGUUUAAUAGUCAUGAAGCAAAGAAUUAUUUAUGAUUUAUGUAUAAACUAAUUCUAGAUAUUAAAUUAUAUAUAAAUGGUUCAAAAUCUUCUAGAAUAAUUAUUACCAAUGAUGUUACACCAUCUUAUACUCCAUAGUAUAUUAAAGAUGCCUAAACAUUGCCAAUAUAUGCCUUUUAGAUAUCUGUUUUGUAAAGUCAAGUAACAACGUUAGUGUCAUGGUAGCCCCAAUAUCUUCAUUGUCCAUUUAAACGAGUACACUAUAUAAGAUGGGCUUAGAAAAUGGUUUAAAUCUUCUUUGCUUCUCCUUUCCAUUGUCAGAGGUUCUUAAUUAAUUACAAUCAGGCAAUGCAUAUAGUUUCAGAUCCCUGUGAUAUAAGAUAUGUAAUAUCUUACAAUAUAGGGAAAACAAUGCUUACGCAACGUUGAUCAUUGUAUAUUUGUAAUCUCAUCGACAAUAUAUGCGACCUGGAUCAUCAUCGGGGCUCGCGGCGUGCAACUAUAUGUUGUUGGUUUUGUUCAUGACCUUCGGGCUGAUGUUUCGGGAGAAGGAACGGAGCACUUUUAUUAUCACCACCAUGGACUUAAGUUGGUGCAUGACGACCAUACUGUUCUUGGCCGCCAGUUCCAUACGGAGAAUCACAAACGAGGGCCGUUGGAGGAUCGAAGACAACAAGCUAGUAGGGGAGAUAUUCCAGGACUUGUAGAUGUGGGCGUAGAAAAGGAUUUAAACUUCUCCGCUUCUGCUUGCUAUUGUCAGAGGUUCUUAAUUAAUAGCAAAAACUUGCGAUUCAUAUAGUUUCAUCCUUACUAUA